AGUGAACGCUGGCGGUAGGCCUAACACAUGUAAGUCGAACGGCAGCACAGUAAGAGCUUGCUCUUACGGGUGGCGAGUGGCGGACGGGUGAGGAAUACAUCGGAAUCUACUUUUUCGUGGGGGAUAACGUAGGGAAACUUACGCUAAUACCGCAUACGACCUACGGGUGAAAGCAGGGGAUCUUCGGACCUUGCGCGAUUGAAUGAGCCGAUGUCGGAUUAGCUAGUUGGCGGGGUAAAGGCCCACCAAGGCGACGAUCCGUAGCUGGUCUGAGAGGAUGAUAAGCCACACUGGAACUGAGACACGGUCCAGACUCCUACGGGAGGCAGCAGUGGGGAAUAUUGGGCAAUGGGCGCAAGCCUGAUCCAGCCAUACCGCGUGGGUGAAGAAGGCCUUCGGGUUGUAAAGCCCUUUUGUUGGGAAAGAAAAGCAGCAGGUUAAUACCCCGCUGUUCUGACGGUACCCAAAGAAUAAGCACCGGCUAACUUCGUG
rnacentral:rRNA from 1 species